rfam:Triticum aestivum genome assembly, contig: Triticum_aestivum_CS42_TGACv1_scaffold_212959_3AS
AUACUUACCUGGACGGGGUCGACGGGCGAUCAAUAAGGCCCGUGGCCUAGGUUAGUGGCACACAUUGCACCUGGUGAGUGCGCCGGCCUAUCAUCUCCCUAAGUGGGAGAGUGAACGUCGUAAUUUGUGGUAGAGGAGGUACGCGUUCGUGCAGCCCUUGC